rnacentral:lncRNA from 1 species
CACGAACUUCUCCCCCUUAAUAAUCAAUACGGCCCGUCCAAGAAGCGGGACGUAGGUGAUCCACCACCACCAUAGAUCGUGGUGCCACCACAUCCCCAUGCCUGCCUGCACCUCUCUCUGUUCCCCACCCCUCGGGAACAUGCCCGGGAACCAUCAAAAUGUAUCAAAGCAGCGUGUUUGAUUCUACAAUGAAGUAAAGAAGGCUAGUGAAGAACACAAAUAUAAGGAAUUAAAAAAAGAACAACCAAAAAAAUGAAAUACAACUUGAGUUUGCAAAGAACACUCUCAAAAUUAAUGGCUUAUAGAAGGUUAAAAAAAUAAUCUAUUGAGUUUUUGUGGCUAUUUGUUUCUGAAGUAGGGUUCACUAGUAUCAAUAAUAUCCUAGAUAUAGUGAUAUCUAACAUUUACGUACUUGGUCUUGGAAUAAUAUAGAUGAUUUUUUUUGUUAGAUGUAUUGUGCUUCUACUAUCACAAUUUGACUCCUCCAAUUUCUACAAC